GUACGUCGUGGCUUUUUGCUUCCUUCGGGAGCUGCCAGCUCAAAGCUAUUCAGUGAUGAUGGUAUGCAUCACAGUGUGUGACGGAAACUUCUCUUGGGUGUUCAGUUGCAGGUGUGAACACCGGGAGGGCUUUUCCAGCAUCGCAGCUCACCUGGCGUCACAAGGGUCAUCAAAGAGCAAAGCCUAAGGCAGGAGUACAAAAAGCUUCCCAGCAUCCCUCAAUCGUCAACGAUGGUGCAGGUGUGAGCACAGGGAGGGCUUUUCCAGCUCCUCACGUGGGUCCCGAACCACAGCUCACCUGGCAUCGCAAGGGUCCACAAGAAACAAGGCCUAAGGUAUUAAGACGAAAGUCUUCCCAGCAUAAAUCAGUCCUCAACCAAGUCCUGGAGGAACUGGACAAAGUAGAGCAUGGUGGGUAUAUAUCGCUCUAGAGCAGAAGACUUGGGAAGUGGAGGUUUAGAUACACAUGCUCUUCAGAAGGGCGCUUUCCCUGACUAAAUUGACACCCUCAAAUGCUCUGGCUUUGUUUCUGAGUGUUAUCAAUGUAUUCUGAGAAAUAUUGCCUCCUGAAGAUAUUGGUUCUUGAAGAGGUUACUUCUCAUUAAACUGAUUCCAUUUCUUUCUAAAGACCUGAGCCAUGACACUGGGGAGACCGUGGCGUUUCAGAAAAGAGGAGACCAGGUAGUGCCGAUCUACGAUGAAGGGACUUGGACAAUGAAAUCACGAGGCAUGCCAG